AACGAACGCUGGCGGCAUGCCUAACACAUGCAAGUCGAACGAGACCUUCGGGUCUAGUGGCGCACGGGUGCGUAACGCGUGGGAAUCUGCCCUUGGGUUCGGAAUAACAGUUGGAAACGACUGCUAAUACCGGAUGAUGACGUAAGUCCAAAGAUUUAUCGCCCAAGGAUGAGCCCGCGUAGGAUUAGCUAGUUGGUGAGGUAAAGGCUCACCAAGGCGACGAUCCUUAGCUGGUCUGAGAGGAUGAUCAGCCACACUGGGACUGAGACACGGCCCAGACUCCUACGGGAGGCAGCAGUGGGGAAUAUUGGACAAUGGGCGAAAGCCUGAUCCAGCAAUGCCGCGUGAGUGAUGAAGGCCUUGGGUUGUAAAGCUCUUUUACCCGGGAUGAUAAUGACAGUACCGGGAGAAUAAGCUCCGGCUAACUCCGUG
rnacentral:rRNA from 1 species